UACAGAGGUCUCAAGCGUUGUUCGGAUUCAUUGGGCGUAAAGGGUGCGUAGGUGGCGCGGUAAGUCGGGUGUGAAAUCUCGGGGCUUAACUCCGAAACUGCAUUCGAUACUGCCGUGCUUGAGGACUGGAGAGGAGACUGGAAUUUACGGUGUAGCAGUGAAAUGCGUAGAUAUCGUAAGGAAGACCAGUGGCGAAGGCGGGUCUCUGGACAGUUCCUGACACUGAGGCACGAAGGCCAGGGGAGCGAACGGG
rnacentral:rRNA from 1 species